CUCUCUCAAGAGUGAGACCCACAAAAUAAAAGUUCCUGGACUAACUAAAAGGUCCCAGUGACCUGGCCCCUCCCCCUCUUGGAUCGCCACCCCUCCUGGAUGCCUUCCUCGUUCUUCCUGCGUCUGCUCUCCCGCUUGCCCGUGUUCCCGCAGGACACUGGUUGCUCUUGUUCGUGCAGAGCGUGCUAUGGUGCCCACGUCCGUUUCCUAAGCUGCUCCCUGGCUGGAACACACGAUGGGUUCCCUCCCUGAGGCCCAUGGCUUGUGGAUCUCUCUCGCCUCCAGCCCCAGCCCGCUGUAUCACUGAAACAAAACGUGCCCCUUCUGCUGCCAGAAGCAUGCCCACAAAUAUGCUCAGACAACGGGGCUCCGGGUUUCAUUGCUUCCCUGCCGCCGUUUAGAGUAAAAGGGAUGUAAGCGGCCAUUGACAGGGCACUGCUUAACGAAAUGCAAAACGGACACAGCUGUUGGAUAAUAGGAAGCAGAUGUGGGUGCCACCCGGGGGCCUGCUCGAAAGAGAGGCUGGUGCCGGGACUGCCGAUUUCACAGCACGUGCUCAGCCUGUGCAAGGUCCUGGCUGCCUCCCUCAGUACGGAAGGGGAAAAGAAAGGGCUUCUCUGUGUAGCCUUGGCUGUCCUGGAAUUUGCUCUGUAGACCAGGCUGGCCUCGAACUCACAAUGCUGCAUCUGCCUCCCGAGGUCUGGGAUUAAAGGUGUUCACUACCACCUCCCGGCUGGAAGUUCUACAUACCUAAGGGAUAACCCUGACCUUCUGACCUCGGCCUUCACCUCUUGAGUGAUGGAAUGACAGGCGAGGUGUCCAGCAUGAAACCUCGGGCAUCGUGCAUACCAGACAGGCAUUCUCAAACCUGACCUACAACCCCAGCCCCAGGAAAGACCGUGAGCUCAAGACAAGCCUAGACCACCAAGAGAGAUGUGCCUCGGUUUGGUUUGCAGAUCCCUGCCUGAAGCCACCCGGUUCUGGACCCUCUUGGAAGAGAGCGGUUGCGAGACCUUCCAAAGAUGGCCACUAGAGGGCGCGCCGAAGCAGCCGAGUCGCCAAGGGCGUGGGUGCUCCCGGGGAGCCAGCGCGCAAACAAAGCGGUCUUAUUUUCAGAAGGCUGGAGAGGGCCCUGCGGAGCGCCCACGCCCCGCCUCCUCCUAAGCAAACGAAUUUAAUCAAGAUUUAACGUAUUCCGAACCGUAUCCGACAAUUAACGAGAGAUUACCCCCUCCGCUUCCUUUUCUUUCUCUGUGUUUAAAAUAGCUUCCUCCCAACUUCGGCAACUGGAUCUGAAUGACCCUCUCUCAGGAGCUCAGCCGAGUAGGUGGGUCCUGCCUUUCCCACCCGGCUUGCAUUUACAUCUCCCAUCAUCUCAGUAUGUCAUUUUUGUCUGAAGAUAACUAAGCUAUUUCCACAAACCCCGGGCAGAAACACAUUCUGCUCCGGCCACCACUAUCCCACCGUUUCAAGCACACACACACACACACACACACACACACAGUAGAAAACCCAUUUCUGCACACACACACCCUUCUUUUUUUCUUCUGCUGCUGCCUCUCCGCACCCCUGCGGCCCGCCAUCUGCAAGCCUUUUGGACGUGACCGUUACGUAAGGAGGGGACUGGAAAUGAUGGACACUUGGUUCAACCUUAGCCUGUGCCUCGUCGGCGAGAGGUCUGUCUGUGUGGGGCUAGGAUGGUUUGGGCUACCCACCUGACACCUCCAGAGGCAGCCCCCGGGCACACCCGGGCCUCUGAGAAUGUCUGCGGGAACUGUGUUGACUGAGGUCGCUGCUGUGGGUGGGCCCGUCUUAACUGUGGACUCGACCAUCCCCUGAGCAGGGAUCCUGGGCUGGACAAAACGGACAGGGCAGGCCAAGCACUGACCAGGGCGCGGGAAUCCCUUGCUUCGUGCCCUUGAUUGCGGAUGGAAAGAACCAGCUGCUUCAGGCUCCCUGACACCUUUCACCCCCCAACAUGACAGUCUGGCUGUGGCCUAGACCCUUUCUCCCAUCAGGUGCUUCUGUAGAAGUUCCUUCUCAGAGCUCCAGGACACAGCACUGAGACGGGGAAUAAAUAUUUGGGCUGCAAAAAGAAUAAAGGGCCGACACAGGAAUUAGCCCGAGCACCACGCCACCCGGAAGGAAGCAGCCACGGGGGGCCGCACCUCCUGUUCACCGUUGGUGUGAGAUGUCCAGGAGAGGCAUGCGCAGACACAGAGGGGACAUGAGUGGUUUCCUGGGGCUGAGUGCAGGGGUGGUGGAGAGGGACUACUUCAUAGAGGCGCGGCUUCCUUGGUGACAAAAAUAAAACAAAAUCUUUUGAUUUUA